GGACAACAUUUGGAAACGAAUGCUAAUACCGCAUAAAAACUUUAAACACAAGUUUUAAGUUUGAAAGAUGCAAUUGCAUCACUCAAAGAUGAUCCCGCGUUGUAUUAGCUAGUUGGUGAGGUAAAGGCUCACCAAGGCGAUGAUACAUAGCCGACCUGAGAGGGUGAUCGGCCACAUUGGGACUGAGACACGGCCCAAACUCCUACGGGAGGCAGCAGUAGGGAAUCUUCGGCAAUGGACGAAAGUCUGACCGAGCAACGCCGCGUGGGUGAAGAAGGUUUUCGGAUCGUAAAACUCUGUUGGUAGAGAAGAACGUUGGUGAGAGUGGAAAGCUCAUCAAGUGACGGUAACUACCCAGAAAGGGACGGCUAACUACGUGCCAGCAGCCGCGGUAAUACGAGGUCCCGAGCGUUGUCCGGAUUUAUUGGGCGUAAAGCGAGCGCAGGUGGUUUAUUAAGUCUGGUGUAAAAGGCAGUGGCUCAACCAUUGUAUGCAUUGGAAACUGGUAGACUUGAGUGCAGGAGAGGAGAGUGGAAUUCCAUGUGUAGCGGUGAAAUGCGUAGAUAUAUGGAGGAACACCGGUGGCGAAAGCGGCUCUCUGGCCUGUAACUGACACUGAGGCUCGAAAGCGUGGGGAGCAAACAGGAUUAGAUACCCUGGUAGUCCACGCCGUAAACGAUGAGUGCUAGAUGUAGGGAGCUAUAAGUUCUCUGUAUCGCAGCUAACGCAAUA
rnacentral:rRNA from 1 species